UUUGGAGGCCGCAGGCAAGCUCUUACCCCACAGAGGUGGGGCCCGUCUGGGCCCCUCCUCCCUCCUCUUGGUGACAGCCCGUGGGCAAGAGUGGGAAGCUGAGGGGCUUGUGGGUGUGUUUCGGGGAGAGCUGGCGGGUGGGUUCAGGGACAGGAGCUGGAGAGAGGCAGUUUGGGCAGAGCCCCCAGCCUCCAGACCAGGAGGGUGGAGAGGACGCAGAGCUGUGCCCCAGUACUGUGAGGUCAGAGGGAGACCCUGGGAGGGGAGGGCUGUGUGGCUGGGGGUGCUGGCUCCCCUGCUGAUGGGCAGGGCAGGCUGGGGGGCGGGGCUCCAGGGGGACCUGGAGUCCUGUUCAGGGCUUCAGUCCCCACCCUCAGCCCUCUGCACCCCACCCAGCACUGUUCUCCUGUUUAGGGGAGCCCUAGUGCCCGAGUGGGAGUCCAGGGCAGCAGGUGGCUCAAGACCCUGAGGGAGACCUCCUCCAGCCUCGCUGGCAGCAGAGCAGCGGGCAGCCCCGUCUGACACCACGUGACAGUGCCUUGUGGUCACAGGACCCAGGCCCACCCACAGACAGCAGAGUGAUGGCAGCUGACCACUUGGAUUCACCCCCUGGAACCCCAGCGGGACAUCCCAGGGAGAAGGAAUGUGGAGGGAAUCUCCUGGAGGGCUGAAGAUGCAGAGGGAGGCCUGAGGACUGGGGGAAGGAGCCACCCCGGUUAUUUAAUUCUGAAGAUAAACCACGCUCAGUGCUGCUCAUCAACCCUUAUCCUGCUGUCUCUCCAUUUCCACUUUCCGGCGCUAUUUCACUAGCAGGUCGCGUCCCUCGAGUCUCGUCGGAACAACAACCCGCCACCAAGAGCAGUUUCUCUGCAUUGACCCCGAAGGCCGUUUGGGCUGGACCUAGGCUCCCGUGUUGUUCCUCGGGUCUGGGAAUCCGCCCUCUGCACGAUGCAUGCCGUCAGCAGUCACCCACCAUCUGCUCGUGCUUCCUUGUAACUUUCUCAUCCGGGUGUCCAGAGGAUUUCCUUUUCUUUUUCUUUAAAAUGCAGUGGCUGUACUUGCGGCCAUCUCAGAGUUCGUCAUUCCAGGCCCGUUUAUUUUUAAUUUUCAAUUUAAAUUUCAGGAAUGCCUUCUUGAAUUAUGGUUUUGGGGUUUGCUCUGGCCCACUGAUCUGGCUUUCUCAUCAGGGGAAUGCCAUCAGUCCAAUGCUAGAUCUUUCCUGCCGGCCUUCCAGGCUCUCUUUCCUCUAAUCCCUUCCUUCUCUCUAUUUCUUUGUGAUUUAAAGGUUAUGUUGAUUCCUUCGUGGGUCCCUGUCAAUUUUGUCUUCAUUCCUGGAAUUACAUCAUUGUUUUGUGACAUCUAUCAUUUUCUUAAUCUCCCGGCCUUGAUUGGAAGCAGCAGGCCCCGGUGCUCACCGGCUUUGCGGGCACGUCUUUCUGACGCACUUUCAUAUUCUGCGCAGCGAGGUCCCACGGCGUAGGCCUGUAGCCACAUUUCAAGGGCUCCAUGACCUUGUGUGGCGACUCCACUGGACUGUGCAGAUACAGAGUAAUUCCGUCAUUCUAGAAAGUUCCAUGGGACAGAGCUGGUCCGUAGGAUCAUCACUCUCUACCUUACUCUCUUGUUCUUAGAACAACCUCCAGUAGGGUCCGACUGCGGCCCUCGACCAGCCUACCCUCACAAUCCCUCGGGGCUCCCCUGUGCUGGUCACCUCGGUUCACAAGCCCCCAGCAACCCCCCACCAUGCCUGCUCAGCUCCGUAGGCCCAAGGACAGAGAGGGCUGUCACCCCUCCACCACCUCCUCCCUCUGGCCUGCCUUCCCUCAGAUGUCCACCUUGGCCUGAAACCACCUCCUCCAGGAAGCCCCCAGCCCCCAGGCUGUGGCAGGUCCUGCCUCUGUGCUCCUAGCCCCACUGACCACUUGGGCUGGCACCCCAGGGACGGAUCUUCCUCCCUGUAAGAAGGUCUACGAGGGCCAGGUCGGACAAAUGUCGGCCUCUGCAUGGUUGCGGAGUAGGUGAGGGGUGAGAAGGAAGGAGGCUUAGUCACCACUCUGCAAAGUAGGAAACUGAGGCGCACAGCUGGGAGGGUCUUGCCAGGGUCACACAGCAGGUAAGACAGUCCAGGUUAGCUGACACAGCUUCCUGCCACAAGGAGGCAGAAGGCAGGGCUGCUGCGGGGGGAGAUCCUGGACAGGAGGUUGGGGGGACCCCCAGGGAGGCCCCCCCGGGAACGUGGCGCCGGCCCCUGCACUGCCGCCUGCUGCCACGAGGUGGCACGCUCCGUUGGCCUCAGCAGCCAGAACCCGGAGUUUGGCGGCAGGCCCGGUCCCAGGCGGGCGGGCUGGGGGUCUGCACUCUGCGGCCUCCGGAGCCUGGCCCAGCCCCGCCAAGGAGCCACGGUUCCGGCAGGGCCCCCACUCGGCAGAGAAGGCAGACUCCCAGGGCCACCGGCCGGGACCAGCCCUUCACACCUUGCAUUGAUCUGUGUGCUAAUCCCGCCCAGAGCUGCUCCUUCUCCCCCUUCUGAGCCCCUGAGGCAGCUCCUCUCAGAGCAGCGCUGGGCCCACGGCGGGCGGUCCAUUUCUUCCUGAAAAGCUGUUAUUGAGCUGAUGGUGCCUCUGACCCAAGAGCAUUUUAAAGUCAAAGGAGUGUGCAAAUAAAGGGCGGGGAAGCCUGGGUGGCUCA
rnacentral:lncRNA from 12 species